CCUGUGAGGGUUGCUGGAGGUAUCAGAAGUGCGAAUGCUGACAUAAGUAACGAUAAAGCGGGUGAAAAGCCCGCUCGCCGGAAGACCAAGGGUUCCUGUCCAACGUUAAUCGGGGCAGGGUGAGUCGACCCCUAAGGCGAGGCCGAAAGGCGUAGUCGAUGGGAAACAGGUUAAUAUUCCUGUACUUGGUGUUACUGCGAAGGGGGGACGGAGAAGGCUAUGUUAGCCGGGCGACGGUUGUC
rnacentral:rRNA from 1 species